UACGGGGGGGGCAAGCGUUGUUCGGAAUUACUGGGCGUAAAGGGCUCGUAGGUUGCCAACUAAGUCAGACGUGAAAUCCCUCGGCUUAACCGGGGAACUGCGUCUGAUACUGGAUGGCUUGAGUUUGGGAGAGGGAUGCGGAAUUCCAGGUGUAGCGGUGAAAUGCGUAGAUAUCUGGAGGAACACCGGUGGCGAAGGCGGCAUCCUGGACCAACACUGACACUGAGGAGCGAAAGCCAGGGGAGCAAACGGG
rnacentral:rRNA from 1 species